GAUGAACGCUGGCGGCGUGCCUAAUACAUGCAAGUCGAGCGAACAGACGAGGAGCUUGCUCCUCUGACGUUAGCGGCGGACGGGUGAGUAACACGUGGAUAACCUACCUAUAAGACUGGGAUAACUUCGGGAAACCGGAGCUAAUACCGGAUAAUAUAUUGAACCGCAUGGUUCAAUAGUGAAAGACGGUUUUGCUGUCACUUAUAGAUGGAUCCGCGCCGCAUUAGCUAGUUGGUAAGGUAACGGCUUACCAAGGCAACGAUGCGUAGCCGACCUGAGAGGGUGUUCGGCCACACUGGAACUGAGACACGGUCCAGACUCCUACGGGAGGCAGCAGUAGGGAAUCUUCCGCAAUGGGCGAAAGCCUGACGGAGCAACGCCGCGUGAGUGAUGAAGGUCUUCGGAUCGUAAAACUCUGUUAUUAGGGAAGAACAAAUGUGUAAGUAACUAUGCACGUCUUGACGGUACCUAAGCAGAAAGCCACGGCUAACUACGUG
rnacentral:rRNA from 1 species